rnacentral:lncRNA from 1 species
UUUUUUUCAACAGGAUCUUUAUGGAGCCCCUUUCCCGAUCCUUUUCUUACUGGAUGUGGAGUUGAAAAUCGCCUCCUGUCAGACCUGGCUUCCUCAAAUGUAUCCGAAAGUUUGGUUUCAGGGUGAGGCGACACAGCCCUUGGCUUAUUUGUCUUAGGAUUGAGCUGAAUCUCAGUAACACUUGAUCCUUUUGCAGGCCUUGAUUUGAGACCCGCAAUUCGGUCUGACUGAGAGGUUAAAGGAAUUGAGGUCAGUUUAGAGUCUACACUCAAUCUGCC